rnacentral:rRNA from 1 species
CUAAGCAUAUCAAUAAGCGGAGGAAAAGAAACUAACAAGGAUUCCCCUAGUAACUGCGAGUGAAGCGGGAAAAGCUCAAAUUUAGAAUCUGGCAGCCUACGGUUGUCCGAGUUGUAGCCUAGAGAAGCGUUUUCUGCGUUGGACCAUGUACAAGUCCCUUGGAACAGGGCGUCAUAGAGGGUGAGAAUCCCGUACUUGACAUGGACUCCCAGGGCUAUGUGAUGCGCUCUCGAAGAGUCGGGUUGUUUGGGAAUGCAGCUCUAAAUGGGUGGUAAAUUCCAUCUAAAGCUAAAUAUUGGCGAGAGACCGAUAGCGAACAAGUACCGUGAGGGAAAGAUGAAAAGCACUUUGGAAAGAGAGUUAAACAGUACGUGAAAUUGUUGAAAGGGAAACGCUUGAAGUCAGUCGCGUCGGCCGGGACUCAGCCUUGAACGGUGCACUUCCCGGUGGACGGGCCAGCAUCAGUUUUGAUCGUCGGAAAAGGGUUUGAGGAAUGUGGCACCUUCGGGUGUGUUAUAGCCUCUUGCCGCACGCGACGGUUGGGACUGAGGAUCGCAGCUUCGGCUUAGGAUGCUGGCGUAAUGGCUUUAAACGACCCGUCUUGAAACACGGACCAAGGAGUCUAACAUGUCUGCGAGUGUUUGGGUGUCAAACCCGAGCGCGUAAUGAAAGUGAACGUAGGUGGGAGGCUUCGGCCGCACCAUCGACCGAUCUGGAUCUUUAGUGAUGGAUUUGAGUAAGAGCAUAUAUGUUGGGACCCGAAAGAUGGUGAACUAUGCCUGAAUAGGGUGAAGCCAGAGGAAACUCUGGUGGAGGCUCGUAGCGAUUCUGACGUGCAAAUCGAUCGUCAAAUUUGGGUAUAGGGGCGAAAGACUAAUCGAACCAUCUAGUAGCUGGUUCCUGCCGAA